rnacentral:rRNA from 1 species
UACAGGGGGUGCAAGCGUUAAUCGGAAUUACUGGGCGUAAAGCGUGCGUAGGCGGAUAUUUAAGUCAGAUGUGAAAGCCCUGGGCUUAACCUAGGAAUUGCAUCUGAUACUGGAUGUCUAGAGUAUGGUAGAGGAUGGCGGAAUUUCCGGUGUAGCGGUGAAAUGCGUAGAUAUCGGAAGGAACACCAGUGGCGAAGGCGGCCAUCUGGGCCAAUACUGACGCUGAGGCACGAAAGCAUGGGGAGCGAACAGG